UACAGAGGGUGCGAGCGUUGUCCGGAAUCACUGGGCGUAAAGCGCACGUAGGCGGAUCGUUAAGUCGGGGGUGAAAUCCUGGAGCUCAACUCCAGAACUGCCUUCGAUACUGGCGAUCUUGAGUCCGGAAGAGGUGAGUGGAACUCCUAGUGUAGAGGUGGAAUUCGUAGAUAUUCGGAAGAACACCAGUGGCGAAGGCGACUUACUGGACACAUAUUGACGCUGAGGUGCGAAAGCGUGGGGAGCAAACAGG
rnacentral:rRNA from 1 species